AUGCAAGUCGAACGAUGAAGCCCUUCGGGGUGGAUUAGUGGCGAACGGGUGAGUAACACGUGGGCAAUCUGCCCUUCACUCUGGGACAAGCCCUGGAAACGGGGUCUAAUACCGGAUAACACUCGCCGAGGCAUCUCGGUGGGUUGAAAGCUCCGGCGGUGAAGGAUGAGCCCGCGGCCUAUCAGCUUGUUGGUGAGGUAGAAGCUCACCAAGGCGACGACGGGUAGCCGGCCUGAGAGGGCGACCGGCCACACUGGGACUGAGACACGGCCCAGACUCCUACGGGAGGCAGCAGUGGGGAAUAUUGCACAAUGGGCGAAAGCCUGAUGCAGCGACGCCGCGUGAGGGAUGACGGCCUUCGGGUUGUAAACCUCUUUCAGCAGGGAAGAAGCGAAAGUGACGGUACCUGCAGAAGAAGCGCCGGCUAACUACGUGCCAGCAGCCGCGGUAAUACGUAGGGCGCAAGCGUUGUCCGGAAUUAUUGGGCGUAAAGAGCUCGUAGGCGGUCUGUCACGUCGGAUGUGAAAGCCCGGGGCUUAACCCCGGGUCUGCAUUCGAUACGGGCAGACUAGAGUGUGGUAGGGGAGAUCGGAAUUCCUGGUGUAGCGGUGAAAUGCGCAGAUAUCAGGAGGAACACCGGUGGCGAAGGCGGAUCUCUGGGCCAUUACUGACGCUGAGGAGCGAAAGCGUGGGGAGCGAACAGGAUUAGAUACCCUGGUAGUCCACGCCGUAAACGGUGGGAACUAGGUGUUGGCGACAUUCCACGUCGUCGGUGCCGCAGCUAACGCAUUAAGUUCCCCGCCUGGGGAGUACGGCCGCAAGGCUAAAACUCAAAGGAAUUGACGGGGGCCCGCACAAGCAGCGGAGCAUGUGGCUUAAUUCGACGCAACGCGAAGAACCUUACCAAGGCUUGACAUCGCCCGGAAAGCAUCAGAGAUGGUGCCCCCCUUGUGGUCGGGUGACAGGUGGUGCAUGGCUGUCGUCAGCUCGUGUCGUGAGAUGUUGGGUUAAGUCCCGCAACGAGCGCAACCCUUGUUCUGUGUUGCCAGCAUGCCCUUCGGGGUGAUGGGGACUCACAGGAGACUGCCGGGGUCAACUCGGAGGAAGGUGGGGACGACGUCAAGUCAUCAUGCCCCUUAUGUCUUGGGCUGCACACGUGCUACAAUGGCAGGUACAAUGAGCUGCGAUGUCGCAAGGCGGAGCGAAUCUCAAAAAGCCUGUCUCAGUUCGGAUUGGGGUCUGCAACUCGACCCCAUGAAGUCGGAGUUGCUAGUAAUCGCAGAUCAGCAUUGCUGCGGUGAAUACGUUCCCGGGCCUUGUACACACCGCCCGUCACGUCACGAAAGUCGGUAACACCCGAAGCCGGUGGCCCAACCCCCUUGUGGGGAGGGAGCUGUCGAAGGUGGGACUGGCGAUUGGGACGAAGUCGUAAC
rnacentral:rRNA from 1 species